rnacentral:rRNA from 1 species
UACGGGGGGGGCAAGCGUUGUUCGGAAUUACUGGGCGUAAAGGGCCAGUAGGCGGCCAACUAAGUCCGACGUGAAAUCCCAAGGCUUAACCUUGGAACUGCGUCGGAUACUGGAUGGCUUGAAUCCGGGAGAGGGAUGCGGAAUUCCAGGUGUAGCGGUGAAAUGCGUAGAUAUCUGGAGGAACACCGGUGGCGAAGGCGGCAUCCUGGACCGGUAUUGACACUGAGGCGCGAAAGCCAGGGGAGCAAACGGG